rnacentral:antisense_RNA from 1 species
AAGUGCGGCCAGACCGAGGCUGGAGAAAGAGCGCAGCCAGAGAGGGAAAGGCAGCCAGGCUGCAGGAUAGUGAUGCACAUUUGGCCCUGCUGCACAUUUGGACAGGAUGAACUUGGCCCACAUUUUGUAGAAUCUGCAAAAGCCCCGGGUUCUCUCAAAAUGUCACAGUGGUAGCUUGGAGCCCCUGGACUCCCCCAAUUCCUCCUUCGGCAUUCACCCUCCUCCAGGGGGCUCCCCAUAAUUGGCCUGAAUGGUGCCCUUCCCAUUCCCCCAAAGUGCCCCUCCCAUAACUCCUCAAAGUUCAGGAUACACCAGGCGCUGUGAGUCACAAUAAAGUCUGCCUUUAUUGA